rnacentral:tRNA from 1 species
GUUUUAAUAGUUUAAUAUAAAAUUUUGGUUUUGUAAACCAAAGAUAAGAUACAACUUGUAAAACU